UUGUUGUUCCCCUGGAAAUCUGUUCACAAUAUGAACCCAAUGCAGGCCAGAGAAGGCAAAUGUGGGAAAUCCUUUUAGAUGCCCAUAAGAAGUUAAUGGAAACAAAAUUUUUUUUUAAAAUUUUUUGGAGACUUUUAUCCUAUUAAGGUAGUGAUAUCUAGCCUAGUAUUCAGGGGUUAAAACAAUGAAAUAGAAGGAUGAUAUGUCCAAGUAACAUUACUAAGUUCUAACCUUCUGACUGUUA